rnacentral:sRNA from 1 species
CGCCACCGCCGCCGCCGUUGCCGCCGCGGCGACGCCGGUUGCUGUUGCCCUUGCCGCCACCGCCUUGGUUGCCGGCACCAUAGCCGGUGCCGUGCGCUGGAUUGGCGCCCUUGCCGCCGUUGGUCGUGCUGCCCGUGGCGAGGAAGACGGCGGAAGAAGCAGACGCGGCGUGGUUCGG